rnacentral:rRNA from 1 species
AACGAACGCUGGCGGCAGGCUUAACACAUGCAAGUCGAACGGGUGUAGCAAUACAUCAGUGGCAGACGGGUGAGUAACACGUGGGAACCUUCCUAGAGGUACGGAACAACUCAGGGAAACUUGAGCUAAUACCGUAUACGCUCUUGCGAGGAAAGAUUUAUCGCCUUUAGACGGGCCCGCGUCGGAUUAGCUAGUUGGUGGGGUAACGGCCUACCAAGGCGACGAUCCGUAGCUGAUCUGAGAGGAUGAUCAGCCACACUGGGACUGAGACACGGCCCAGACUCCUACGGGAGGCAGCAGUGGGGAAUCUUGGACAAUGGGCGCAAGCCUGAUCCAGCCAUGCCGCGUGAGUGAAGAAGGCC